rnacentral:rRNA from 1 species
CCUACGGGAGGCAGCAGUGAGGAAUAUUGGUCAAUGGGCGAGAGCCUGAACCAGCCAAGUCGCGUGAGGGAGUACUGCCCUAUGGGUUGUAAACCUCUUUUGUCGGGGAGCAAAAGCCGGACGUGUCCGGCUGUGAGAGUACCCGAAGAAAAAGCAUCGGCUAACUCCGUGCCAGCAGCCGCGGUAAUACGGAGGAUGCGAGCGUUAUCCGGAUUUAUUGGGUUUAAAGGGUGCGCAGGCGGAUUUUUAAGUCAGCGGUAAAAUCGUGGGGCUCAACCCCAUCCAGCCGUUGAACCUGGGGAUCUAGAGUGUGCGAGAGGUAUGCGGAAUGCGUGGUGUAGCGGUGAAAUGCAUAGAUAUCACGCAGAACCCCGAUUGCGAAGGCAGCAUACCGGUGCACAACUGACGCUCAGGCACGAAAGCGUGGGUAUCGAACAGGAUUAGAUACCCGUGUAGUC